GUUUGUAAAUUGCAGUUUUAUACUGUAAAAUUUACAGUUUGUCCUGUAAAUGUUUUGAACAGUUUUUUGUAUUUUUUGCAAAUUUAUUCUGGCAACCAUAGCUGCCAUUUUUUCCCGCUUGUGUUUUCAUUUAAUCUGACCCUUUGAGUAAACUACACACACACACAGACUGCUGCAUCCUGUAAGCUUGCAAGGCUGAAAAAUAAUGACUAGCCCUUUUAUUUCGCCAGCAAAGCAACUUUUCCUCUCUCUCCCAAUUUCAUGGCUUUUUCCUUCUCAUUUUUCACCUGCUCCACCUAAACGUGCUUCUAUAGUUGCAAUAUGAACACCUCGUCUGCACCGUUUAAUCGCUGGUCCUCAUAGCGAUAAGAUAUGAGCUCACACUUGACUAUUGACUUUUAAUUGUGUGUAUGGAGCAUGAGAUGUUUAAUGUUUGAUUUCAUUGUGCAUUUGAACCCACGACUGCAGCAGAUAAAUACACAAGUGUGUGUUGCCAUUUGUGGUUGUUGGAGAUGUGCUGGUAUGUGGGUUAAUUAAAGGAAACAUCCCUGGCUGCUGUUGCUGUUUUUUUCCCCCCUCUCUUUGUAUUCUCUCUCACACACACAGUAAUGAGGAAUGGAAGCAGAGAGGCUGGUGGUACCAGUACAGCACAAUUCAUCAUUCAUGUCAUCCAUACCAAAGCCAGCUGCUCGGAACAGACACCAAAAAUUAGCAUUUCACCCCAUCCCUUCUCUCUCUCUCAUGCACGCUUUGAGUCGCUCUUCCUCAUCAACCCCGUUUUGUCACUUCCUCACUAUUAAUGGUCCUCUCUUCUUAUCAUUUAACUGGGAAACUAAUUCCUGUCUUUGAUUACUGUCAACCGCAGCACAAUGUCCCAUAUCCGCCCCCUCCGGUUCUGCUGAAACUGCUGUUUCACUGGAUUGGAUGUCAAGAUAAAUGUAUCGGUCACUGCAUGUGGAACUUGCAUCAAGCCCGACAGAUGUCUUAUUUCAACCCCUAUUAUAGCUUCACCAUCUUUUCAGAGUCAGCGGCACUAAGCUCUCAUUGCCAGCUUUAUAAGCUAUCCUUCCUACGGUUAGCUGAAGGAGUGCUGUAAUUACACAUGAACCCUUGCUGCAGCUUUUCCUUUGUCAGCCUAAAAGAACCAGAAGGCCAAUCUCAGGGUGGCUGUGACAUUACCUUCAGAUUGAAAGUUGAAGAAACUCUUUGAAAGAGAACAUCUAUUCAACCAAGUCUCAAAAGGAAAAUAAUUUCUGCAAACCUCACACUCCGAAUCCACCAGCACAUCCACCUGUUGGAGGUUUCGGAGACCGGUUUGGUCCAAACCGUGGCUUGUCUUCAGGUGGGAUUUGCUGAUGAAAAUCUCUUAAUCAAGCUUUAAUUGUUUGAGCAUGACCCUGCUUGACCCGGUUAAUGGGAAUGGCCCUGAUUAACGAUGUGUGCUCAGUCACACAGUGGGAGGCACCGCCCACACCCACGAGUCAUUGGUUCAUUAAUUAAUUUAUUAAUUAAAGGGUAACAAUGAAGCAGAAACAAAGAAGCAGCCAAAGGACAAUGAGUGGGGGUGAUGGUCCUUCUGCAUUAUGGUGUUAAAAAUGAUUUAUGUGCAUACUCAUAGUGAUUGAUAAUUAUGAAACAUCAAGCUAUAUCAAAUUGCUCACAGUUUAAAAUUAAGCACUGAAUUAGGAAAGGAUGAUAUUGUGAUAUGUAACUUAAUCAUAAAUAUAAUAGGAGAGGAAAGGUGGCAUGAUUUUUUUUUUUUUAGAGAGAUAUUUGAUGGCCAGUGUUUCUAGUUGCAGUGAGUUUAAAACAAAACCAUCUAAUCAGUGAAAAACAUUAUUUUACUAAUUAUUCCUAUUAAGUAUUUAAUUUGGGGGUUAAGUAUUUCUUGUUUGCUAAGUAUUCCUAUUUUUGAUGGUUCUAGAACAAACAAAGAUAGUACCUGGAACAAACCAUUUGUUCAGUUAAUCUCAAAUAAUGUUCAAAUAAUCUUAAUUUUGAACUAUUAAAAUGUUUUUCUUGCUUGGAAUUUAGUGCACAAAUUAUAACUUUAUGGUUCUUUAAUGGUGAUUUUUGUUGUUAUUUUUGCAGCUUUUAUAAAAAGAAACAGUUUGUACGUUUUGUUUACUAGAAAAAGAUCUAAGUCAAGCAUUGGAAUGACAUGAGGGUGAGUAGCCUAAAUGAUGAGAGAUUAUUUCUUUAAUAAAUUUCAAAUUAAAUAUACA
ensembl:lncRNA